rnacentral:rRNA from 1 species
GGAUUGAACGCUGGCGGCAGGCCUAACACAUGCAAGUCGAGCGGUAGAGAGGUGCUUGCACCUCUUGAGAGCGGCGGACGGGUGAGUAAUGCCUAGGAAUCUGCCUAGUGGUGGGGGAUAACGUUCGGAAACGGACGCUAAUACCGCAUACGUCCUACGGGAGAAAGCGGGGGACCUUCGGGCCUCGCGCCAUUAGAUGAGCCUAGGUCGGAUUAGCUAGUUGGUGAGGUAAUGGCUCACCAAGGCGACGAUCCGUAACUGGUCUGAGAGGAUGAUCAGUCACACUGGAACUGAGACACGGUCCAGACUCCUACGGGAGCAGCAGGUGGGGAAUAUUGGACAAGUGGGCGAAAGCCUGACUCCAGCCAU